rnacentral:rRNA from 1 species
AUUGAACGCUGGCGGCAUGCCCUACACAUGCAAGUCGAACGGUAACGCGGGGCAACCUGGCGACGAGUGGCGAACGGGUGAGUAAAGCAUCGGAACGUGCCCAGUAGUGGGGGAUAGCCCGGCGAAAGCCGGAUUAAUACCGCAUACGACCUAUGGGUGAAAGGGGGGGAACGCAAGACCUCUCGCUAUUGGAGCGGCCGCUGUCAGAUUAGGUAGUUGGGGGGGUAAAGGCCUACCAAGCCGACGAUCUGUAGCUGGUCUGAGAGGACGACCAGCCACACUGGGACUGAGACACGGCCCAGACUCCUACGGGAGGCAGCAGUGGGGAAUUUUGGACAAUGGGCGCAAGCCUGAUCCAGCCAUGCCGCGUGCGGGAAGAAGGCCUUCGGGUUGUAAACCGCUUUUGUCAGGGAAGAAAUCCUUUGGGUUAAUACCUCGGGGUAAUGACGGUACCUGAAGAAUAAGCACCGGCUAACUACGUGCCAGCAGCCGCGGUAA